UAAUACGUAGGGCGCAAGCGUUGUCCGGAAUUAUUGGGCGUAAAGAGCUCGUAGGCGGCUUGUCACGUCGAUUGUGAAAGCCCGAGGCUUAACCUCGGGUCUGCAGUCGAUACGGGCUAGCUAGAGUGUGGUAGGGGAGAUCGGAAUUCCUGGUGUAGCGGUGAAAUGCGCAGAUAUCAGGAGGAACACCGGUGGCGAAGGCGGAUCUCUGGGCCAUUACUGACGCUGAGGAGCGAAAGCGUGGGGAGCGAACAGGAUUAGAUACCCUGGUAGUCCACGCCGUAAACGGUGGGAACUAGGUGUUGGCGACAUUCCACGUCGUCGGUGCCGCAGCUAACGCAUUAAGUUCCCCGCCUGGGGAGUACGGCCGCAAGGCU
rnacentral:rRNA from 1 species